UGGUGGCCUAGACUAAAUCCAGGUGAAAUGCC
rnacentral:piRNA from 1 species